rnacentral:rRNA from 1 species
AUUCCAGCUCCAAUAGCGUAUAUUAAAGUUGUUGCAGUUAAAAAGCUCGUAGUUGGAUUUCUGGCGUGCGACCCGGGUCGGCCCGAAAUGGGUCUGUACUAGGAGUCGCGCGCCAUCCUUGGGGCGAGGCGUACUACCAUUAACUUGGCGGUGCGUUGAGCCCCAUCGUUUACUGUGAACAAAUUAGAGUGUUUAAAGCAGGCAUAUGCCUUGAAUACAUUAGCAUGGAAUAAUAAGAUAGGACUUCGGUAAUAUUUUGUUGGUUCAUUAUUGAGGUAAUGAUUAAUAGGGAUAGUUGGGGGUAUUCAUAUUCAAUUGUCAGAGGUGAAAUUCUUGGAUUUAUGGAAGAUGAACAACUGCGAAAGCAUUUACCAAGGAUGUUUUCAUCA